AUUGAACGCUGGCGGCAUGCUUUACACAUGCAAGUCGGACGAGUGGCGAACGGGUGAGUAACGCCGCGGAACGUACCGAGUAAUGGGGGAUAACUGUCCGAAAGGACAGCUAAUACCGCAUAUUAUCCGAGCGGCCGAUGUCUGCUUAGCUGGUUGGCGGGGUAACGGCCCACCAAGGAGAAGAUCAGUAGCGGGUCUGCGAGGAUGCUCCGCCACACUGGGACUGAGGCACGGCCCAGACUCAUACGUGCGGCAGAGGUGGGAAAUUGUGGACAAUGGGCGCAAGCCUGAUCCAGCCAUGCCGCGUGGCUGAAGAGGGCCUUGGGGUUGUAAAGGACUUUUGUCAGGGAAGCGGUACCUGAAGAAUAAGCACCGGCUAACUACGUGCCAGCAGCCGCGGUAAUUC
rnacentral:rRNA from 1 species